rnacentral:rRNA from 1 species
AUUGAACGCUGGCGGCAGACCUAACACAUGCAAGUCGAACGGUAACAGGAAGCAGCUUGCUUCUUUGCUGACGAGUGGCGGACGGGUGAGUAAUGUCUGGGAAACUGCCUGAUGGAGGGGGAUAACUACUGGACACGGUAGCUACUACCGCAUAACGUCGCAAGACCAAAGAGGUGGACCUUCGGGGCUCUUGCCAUCGGAUGUGUCCAGAUGGGAUUAGCUAGUAGGUGGGGUAACGGCUCACCUAGGCGACGAUCCCUAGCUGGUCUGAGAGGAUGACCAGCCACACUGGAACUGAGACACGGUCCAGACUCCUACGGGAGGCAGCAGUGGGGAAUAUUGCACAAUGGGCGCAAGCCUGAUGCAGCCAUGCCGCGUGUAUGAAGAAGGCCUUCGGGUUGUAAAGUACUUUCAGCGGGGAGGAAGGGAGUAAAGUUAAUACCUUUCCCCAUUGACGUUACCCGCAGAAGAAGCACCGGCUAACUCCGUG